UCUGCCUGUUGCCCUUGAAAUCAGCAACCAGUACCCCCAUAAUCGGGGCACGGUUGUAAUUCCGGCGAACUGGAGGCGUUCUGGACAGGGGUUCGACUCCCCUCACCUCCACCCAAGCACACCGGAACAGCAAUAAAUGUGUGUUUGGGUGGGGGUGUACUGGCUUCGACAGGGCGGGCAAAGGUAAGCAGGCAACCCGAAAGGCGACGAACGUAAUUCGCGCAAAACCACAAACGCCAACGAUGAGCGUUUCGCACUGGCCGCUUAAGGCCUAUGCCGAGGCCGCUUUAGCCUUGUAACCAAAGAAAAGCCGGCGGGGACUUCGGUCCCCGUCGUCA
rnacentral:tmRNA from 1 species